GUACAGCCCAUCUCUUCGGAGUUACGGGUGAAACCGCAGACGGCUCAUUAAAUCAGUUGUGGUCUAAGUGGGCGACAGUUCCCUUAAUUGGAUAACUGUGGAAAAUCCAGAGCUAAUACAUGCGACACACGGCCCUGACUCCUCUCCCAGGCUAGUAAAUGUCGCUAGAUGGGGGUUGAGGUAGGGUGCUUUUAUUAGACCGAGGCGCGCGUCCGGAUGCUAUUAGGUGGGGAAUUUAUUCCUCCCUAGGCAUCAGUUCGAUCGCAGUAAGCGCUAUAAGGUGACUCUGGAUAACAUUGAUAAGCGAGGGUUAUUCCUAUCGCUGCCUACUUACGAGUGACUGACCUAUCAGGUAGGAAUGCAUGUUAUACGCGGGCAUUGCCGCUGACGGGUAACGGGGAAUCAGAGUUCGAUUCCGGAGAGGCAGCCUGAGAAACGGCUACCACG
rnacentral:rRNA from 1 species